UAACUAUGUAAUUAAUUGUUUAAAUGUAGGAGACAGGGAACCGCAAUUUCUAGGGUUAGCCCACAUAGUAAUUUUUCCUACUUAUUGUUCUAUUUGUUUAUCUUUUUUUUUUUUAUUUGAGACAGAGUCUUGUUCUGUUGCCCAGGCUGGAGUGCAGUAGUGCGAUCUCAGCUCAUUGCAGCCUCUGCCUCCCAGGUUCAA
rnacentral:lncRNA from 10 species